UCAGUAUUACUAACCUCUGAGCCAUCUUUCCAGCCCUAGGAAAAUAUUUUAAACCACAAAUACUACCCCUCUUUUUUUGUCAAAAGUUCCCUGUUGGUAUAGUAUCCAUUACUGACUUUUAAAAAUCUGAAUAGUUCUUCAAUGUGAUAGUUUGCAAGCAGCGGUUUUAUUAAGACAGUUGGCAUCAUCACUGUCCUCAGACACACCAGAAGAGGGCGUUGGAUCCCAUUACAGAUGGUUGUGAGCCACUCUGUGCUUGCUGGGAAUUGAACUCAGGACCUCUGGAAGAGCAGUCAGUGCUCUUAAUCCCUGAGCCAUCUCUCCUGCCCGAAAAUUGACAUCAACAGACUACUAUUCCUUCACUUAUAUCCACAGAUUCCUUCAUCUCCUCAUUCUUGUUCUCUGUAUUUGGUGUGUGUGCUGAAAUUGGCUCAGUCACUACCUGUGCUUGGAUAUUUAGAUCCCUUCCAACAUUUUGCAUCUAUAAUUCUGCUACAUUUAUUCUGCAUGGACUUGUGUUUGCAUAUGACUGAGGUUGUAUCUUUAGGGUGAACUUGCACAAGAACUGCCGGAUGGAAGGAUAAUGUGUGUGCUGUCUUUCUAACUAUUCAGUUCCUCUGGAGGGCACAGUAUCAUUUAAUACUCCCAUUGGCAUGUGUGCCGGCACCAUCUUCCCACAGCAACUCCAGUAGUGUCGAUUCUCCAGCUUCCCAACUCCUGCUCACCUUACAGUAGAGGAAGAUGGCUUCCCUGGUGCUUGACGCCUUUGUAAGAGAACAUGGGUCAUGUUUCCCAUGGUUAAGGGCCACAGUUUGUAUCUAUACACUGCUGUGUGUAUCUCUUCUUUAUCUUUCAUAGGAUUUGGGGGUCUCACUUUUCUUGAAUUUUUAUGGUGUGUGGUGUGUGUGUGUGUGUGUGUGUGUGUGUGUGUGUGUAGGCCAAAGGAUAUUUUAGGGUCAUUCAUUCCUCAAGUGUCGUCGACCCCUUUUGUUUGUUUGUUUUUUAAAGACCACACUGUCUCUGGCCAGGGACUUAGGUGCACACUAAGCUUCGAGCUCUGGGGGAUCCACCUGACUCUGGUCCCACAGCUCUGGGAUUGCAGGCAUGCUGCUGCCCCAUGCUCAACUUUGUCUUACUGGGUUCUAGGGGUUGAAUUUCGGCACUUUACUGGAGGAGCUAUCUUUCCAGCCCCCUCUUACGUUAAUAUAAUAGUUAUUUUUAUCAAAAGGCCAUUUUGCUUCUGUUGGUGACACACAUGUGCCGUAGGUAUUUAUCCUGUUUGUCAUUUGUCAGCCAAUUUUGCUCACCAUAAUUUUUGCCAUGCAAGGUUAUAAGGUGACUUUCUUUAUGCAUCAGGAGAGGCUCUCAAAAUGGUCAAUUUUUUCUGUCUUAGCAAAUGUGUUUUUAGACGUGGUUUAAAAAACAAUCAAAUCUUUUUAGACCCAGAGUAAGGAGGAUUCUAGGAAGUGGUCUGACAGAAUACUACUCAUAAAAUCCCUAGAGUGGUCCAUGUUCUCUUUCUUCUAUUUGACUAAAGUGUUCCAUUGCUAAGAAUAAUGGAAGCAGGGUCAGAGGUGUUUGAAGAGGGGAGCUGAUUGGACAUGGCUGUAUACAACUCUGACAACAGACUGAAGAAAAGCGCAUACAGUCACCCAUGCCUGCUCCUCAGGCUCAGCCUUCCUUCAGAAUGAAUACACACUCUCUGUUUAGGAUUCCCUAUUAGAGACUAGAAGAGACCUAAGAAAGGGAUGGGAUAAUGCAUUGGGAACGGCCAGUUAGUGUGUGUGUGUGUGUGUGUGUGUGUGUGUGUGUGUGUGUGUGUGUGUGUGUGUGAGAGAGAGAGAGAGAGAGAGAGAGAGAGAGAGAGAGAGAUAAUGGAGAACAUUGUGUUGAUGAAACUAGGUUUCUAUAUAUAUUCAUGUAUGUGAAUACAGAGAUCAGGAGAGGUUCUAAUUACAUCAAAUAUGAGGGGCUCAGGCAGCUGGGGUGGAGAAGAUACACAGACAUGGGACAACAGAGGCAACCAAGCCACCUCACAGCCCUGCCUGCCUCUGAGGCUGUCAUCAUCUCCGGUUAAUGAAUAAAGAGAUAGAGGAAGACACUGGAGUCUCUGAGGGACAGUAGCUAGAUAACAAAUGAAGAAAGGAAGGACAAAUCAUACCAAAUACUUUUUCUUUGCACUAUAUUAAAUAUGUCAGGUUUAUUUCCCCUGAAACCGUUUAUGAGGGGGAAUUCCCAUUAAUGCAAUUAUGUGUGAAAGAAUGUCGUUCGUGUGUAAAUGAAUGGCUUACUGGUUCACAGAUUGCCCAGUAAUUAAGGGAACCAGCAGGCUUAUUUGUUAUGAGAUCUAAUUAACUUUAAUAAAUUAUAAAUGUAAUCACCAUGCAGGGGAGAGGAAUUCAAUGCCGUACAUAGCAUUCUGUAUAGCCUCUUUCUGGAUGUUCAACAUGGUGAUCAUAAUAAUAGGACCCUGUGCUCCUAGGAAUCUGCUCUUUUGUUACAGCCUUGGCCAGUAUCUACCAUAGCUAUACAAUCAUAGUUGUUUUACUAACAGAAGAUAACUCCAUAAUUGACUUUACUUUGCCUUCCUAGAAGUUACCUCAGCUUCUAAAUUAGCGGGGGAUAACCAGACACAAAUAAAGAUGUGAACUUUUGUUCACAUGACUUUUUUGCCACAAAUUAUAUUUCUCCAGUCACUUUUGGGGAUAGAAAGAGAUUAAUAGACGGAAUAAUUAAAAAUUUUUAAUAACUCAAAAUAUUUUAACAGAUCAUAAGUAUAUGCUGUUAAACCGGGAUCUUGUAAUUGCUUUCAUAUGACUUUUUCCAGGCUUAUUUUAUUGUUUUAAUCAUGAAUGCAUGCUGUGCCUGUGUGUAGUAUGUGCUCAUGAGUGCAUGUGUCUGUAGAGCUGAGUCACAGGCAGGUAGGAGUCACCUGAUGUGUAUGCUGAGAACUAAACCUGAGCCAAUCCCUCCAGCCUUUGUUGAAAUGGCCUUGAAGUUUAACAUCUUAAUGUUUUAAUUUUUUUUUCUUUGAUUAUGAAGCUAAACAUUUUAUUAUUGUUAACCAAGUUUUUUUUUGUUUUAUGUGGGUUUGUUUUGUUUUGUUUUGAGACUAGGUCUGUAUUUCUGGCGUGUCUGGGACUUACUAUGUAGACAAGGCUGGUCUUGAACUCACAGAGAUCUUUCUGUCUCUGCCUCCUAAGUGCUGACAUAUACACAAUAUCUAGCCUUAGGUAUACCAAGUUAAUUUCACUUUUUAAAUAUACCUUUACAUAUUUAAAUUAACAAAUUAACAUUAGGCAUCUAACGUGUUAGAUAUAUUGAAUUUCUGACGUUGUUAGGAGCCGUUGCCUAGAACCAGAGUGGUUUUAGAUUAAGUAGACCCCCAUAGACCUUAGAGGAGAGAAAUAUUCCAUCUCUGUGUUCCAUUGACCUGACCUCCUGGCUGAACAUUCACACAAAAGCCAAGGAAAGCUUUGACAUUCCAGACUCUGUCUUUUCUUAAAGGUGGGAAAGUUGGAAGCGGGAGCCAUUGAUUCGGUCUGUUACUGAAUGUACACUAGGCCCUGUCAAGUUUCAAGCUACCAUUUCUUAGUUCCAUAUAUUCAUAAAUCUAUUCAUACUUUAAAACAUUUAAAUGAAUAUUCUAGAUGUUGUUAUUUAGCACAGUGUUUUUGUGCCCGUAAUUACAGGGCCUUACCCAUGGUCUGGUGUACCUCACUUAGUUUUAAUGCUCUCCCUAUCCUGACUUUGGUAAGAGAUCAGCCACAAAUACAAGCCUGCUUGAGGUUUCCUGGAUGAUUCCAGGCCAAGGUGGUUGCCUAGGAAACCCUGACGCUGCUUCCCAUUACUGUAUUAUUCUCCUUCUCUUAUUGGGUUUUUGAGGGGCAAAGGGAUUGGAAACGGUUUAACUCUGUAGCAUAUGUUGAUCCAGAAGUUACUGUGUAUCCCAGGCUGGCCUCAAACUCAUCAAGAUCCUUCUGAACUCUUUUCACUCAAUGAUCCAAUGCCCCCAGGCUGCCUCUGGUUGUCUGACAUCCCUCAUGUAACUCUACCGAAGCCUGUUCAUGUCCAGAAUAACCUAUGUCCACCUCCUUGGGCUGACAGGAGCUCUAUAUCUGUUCUCUCAGAGCAAAGCAAUCUGAUCUUAGAUAGUCUCCCAGGGAGAAGGGUUGCUACUUGAGAUGUCAGUCAUCCUGCUACCCUGGAUGAGUGCACAACUGAAGUUGACUUCGUAAGAGUCAACUCAUAAUGAAACAAUGCAGAUUUCACAAUCCACAACUGGUAUCAUACAAUAAAAAAAAAAAACAAAAUAUGGCUCCCUAAGAUAUACUCAAAUAUAUUCUAACUUGGGAACACAACAUAUUCUCCAUUAAGAAUAUUGUACUGAAUACCCUUUAGACAUUAGGUAUAUGUAAAGUUUCAAGGCACUAUUGUUAGUGUUGGAACUCAGGUUUAGUGGUUGAUGUAUAUAAUAUAUAUAAGUAUGAUAUAAAUAUAAGCUGAAUCUGUCCACCGACAUAAAUGGAAAGAGUAUAGAACUGAGAGCGUUUAGAUGGAGUCAACAGUUGCUUGGUUUCACAGGGAGGGAAGGCUGCCUAGGGAGAGAAUGGGCAGGGAAACAUCCUAAGGUGUGGCUGCAGCACAGGCUUAGGUAGGAAUGUUACCAAGUCUCUGUUUCACAACACGGCUCUUACAAAACGACCUGAGUGGGGAGAGAACCUUGCCAGGAAGCCACUGUGAUAAUCCUGGCCUGUGUUGAGGGUCUAGGGGUGCCCGUGAAAGUAGACUAUACUGAACAUGAGGUGUAGGGUUGCAUUCACCUGGGGAUCCCGCUGUUUGCUGUUAGCUCUGUGCCCAAGAUGAUCAGUCACUUGAAUGGUGAUGGCAAUGUUUGGAAGACUGAGGCUUUCCCUUCAGCCACCACCUCUAGUGGCCGCCACUGCAGGCCAUAAGGUAUGGCAAUGGACAUAAAAUUCAGGAAACGAUUUCAGGAUAGGAAGCAGAGAAUCACCAUCACUGGUACUGUGUGUGAGGGAAGAAAUCAUGGCUGGGAGGUAGAAAUUAAUUAAGCCAGACUUGGGGAGUUGCUGUGGUGACAGACAGAGGGACUCUCAGGAUGAUGGGACCACAGAGGAGGUGAGAGUUAUAAAGGACACCUGUAGGCCCAGAAGGUACCUCAGGCUGGCUGGGGCAGACUUCCCCAUGGGAAAUUAUUCAGAUACUGCACAAGGAAGGAAAAAGUUACAGUGUCAUUUGGAUUCAAACUGAAUUUGACCCAGUAUUUGUACUGUGACAGGAGUGGUGAGCUACUUAGGUUAUGAAUAAUAAAUGAUGUAGACAAAUUGGUUUCUUAAUUAGUUUUAUUUUUGCAUAUGCUAGUGUGUCCUGGUGCCUGUGGAGAUCAGAGGGGAAGCUAGGUCCCCUGGGAUUGCAGUUAUGCAUAGUUGUGAUUCACCAUGAAGGUUCUGGGACUCGAACCCCAGUCCUCUGCGAUACAAGUGCUCUUCGCUGCUGAGCCAUUGCUCCCAUUUCCAAAAUCAGUAUACAUGGGUGGAGGCAGAGGGUAAUGCUGGGUGUGCUCCUCUGUUGUUCAUGAGGAACACACACUCACAUAACACACACACACACACACACACACACGUCUGUGAGGAGGGUGUAUUUGUAGGGAUGUCUACAUGGGUGGAGGCAGAGGGUAAUGCUGGGUGUGCUCCUCUGUUGUUCAUGAGGAACACACACACACACACACACACACACGUCUGUGAGGAGGGUGUAUUUGUAGGGAUGUCUACAUGGGUGGAGGCAGAGGGUAAUGCUGGGUGUGCUCCUUUGUUGUUCAUGAGGAACACACACUCACACAACACACACACACACACAUCUGUGAGGAGGGUGUAUUUGUAGGGAUGUCUACAUGGGUGGAGGCAGAGGGUAAUGCUGGGUGUGCUCCUCUGUUGUUCAUGAGGAACACACACACACACACACACACGUCUGUGAGGAGGGUGUAUUUGUAGGGAUGUCUACAUGGGUGGAGGCAGAGGGUAAUGCUGGGUGUGCUCCUUUGUUGUUCAUGAGGAACACACACUCACACAACACACACACACACACACACACACACACGUCUGUGAGGAAGGUGUAUUUGUAGGGAUGUCUACAUGGGUGGAGGCAGAGGGUAAUGCUGGGUGUGCUCCUCUGUUGUUCAUGAGGAACACACACUCACAUAACACACACACACACACACACACUUCUGUGAGGAGGGUGUAUUUGUAGGGAUGUCUACAUGGGUGGAGGCAGAGGGUAAUGCUGGGUGUGCUCCUCUGUUGUUCAUGAGGAACACACACACACACACACACACACACGCCUGUGAGAAGGGUGUAUUUGUAGGGAUGUCUACAUGGGUGGAGGCAGAGGGUAAUGCUGGGUGUGCUCCUCUGUUGUUCAUGAGGAACACACACUCACAUAACACACACACACACACACACACUUCUGUGAGGAGGGUGUAUUUGUAGGGAUGUCUACAUGGGUGGAGGCAGAGGGUAAUGCUGGGUGUGCUCCUCCGUUGUUCAUGAGGAACACACACAUACAAACACACACACUCACACACAACACACACACACACACACACACACGUCUGUGAGGAGGGUGUAUUUGUAGGGAUGUCUACAUGGGUGGAGGCAGAGGGUAAUGCUGGGUGUGCUCCUCUGUUGUUCAUGAGGAACACACACACACACACACACACUUCUGUGAGGAGGGUGUAUUUGUAGGGAUGUCUACAUGGGUGGAGGCAGAGGGUAAUGCUGGGUGUGCUCCUUUGUUGUUCAUGAGGAACACACACUCACACAACACACACACACACACACACACACACACACUUCUGUGAGGAGGGUGUAUUUGUAGGGAUGUCUACAUGGGUGGAGGCAGAGGGUAAUGCUGGGUGUGCUCCUCUGUUGUUCAUGAGGAACACACACACACAC